rnacentral:lncRNA from 1 species
CCACCCCCACUUCAAUGCUCAAGAACCGCUCGCAAACUCAGCCACGCCGCCCGACCUCCCCACCCCCGAUGGUCGCUCGCCUCGUCCAGCCACCGGCCCCGCUCGGCCCACUUGCCCCCACUCGUCGCUCGCCUCGCGCCGUCGCCCUUGUCUCACACAGCCUCGUGCAGUCGCCGCCCCCGCCUCGUGCAGCCACCGCCACCACCUUGCGCAGCCUCACGCCGUCCUCUCUGCUCACCCGGACAAGCGGGACAAGGGCACCGUUCAAGGAGAGGACAGGGGCGAUCGCGGUGAACCCUCCGUUCAUGGUACUGUAACGUCCAAGAUGUGGCACUAUCCAUAUUUGGGGAUUAGGUCUUAAUAUGGAUAGAGGCACAUCUUAGCGUUUCGCAAGUACAUAAAUCACCGCAAUACAUUUAUGAAGAGAAGAGUAUAUUGAUUAGCUUACACUCGCCACAAGUUAAGUUACAAGCCACACAACAUUAGUUCAAUCAUCCUAAGACCGGGUCCGGCUACAGACAAGAUAAAUGAUAAAAUGCAAUGACUCUGCCUCGUUAGUCUAGGAAACGAGCAAGGUCCUCUAAUCAUCGGGGUACAUUACGUACAAGCGCCCACUGCCUUCAUCGAAAUCCCAUUGAAGAUCGAUAACCCACAAGUAUAGGGGAUCGCAACAGUUUUCGAGGGUAGAGUAUUCAACCCAAAUUUAUUGAUUCAACUCAAGGGGAAGCGAAAGAAUAUUCUCAAGUAUUAGCAGUUGAGCUGUCAAUUCAACGACACCUAAAAGAUUUAGUAUCAGUAGCAAAGUAGGGUGAUAGCAGCAGUAGCAACAGUAACCAGUAGCAGCAAAGUAACAACAGUAGGAACAGAGUAACAACAGCAGCAGUCACAGCAGUAGCGGCAAAGUAACGUAGCAAGGACCAGUAGAAAAAGACUCGUAGGCAUUGGAUCAGUGAUGGAUGAUUAUGCCGGAUGUGAUUGAUCAUGCAACAGUUAUAACACGGAGAGAUAAGUAAAUAGCUCCAGUUCGUCAAUCUAAUGUAGGCAUGUAUUCCGCAUGUAGUCAUACGUGCUUAGGGAAAAUAACUUGCAUGACAUCUAUUGUCCAUCCCUCCCAUGGCAGCGGGGUCCUAAUGGAAACUACAGGAUAUUAAGGUUCUCCUUUGAAUAAAGAACCGGACCAAUGCAUUAACACUUGGUGAAUACAUGAACUCCUCAUACUAUGGUCAUCUCCGGGAGUGGUUCCGGCUAUUGUCACUCCGGGGUUGCAGGGUCAUAACACAUAGUAGGUGACUACAACUUGCAAGAUAGGAUCUAAAACACACAUAUAUUGGCGACAACAUAAUAGGUUCAGAUCUGAAAUCAUGGCACUCGAGCCCUAGUGACAAGCAUUAAGCAUGGCAAAGUAGUAGCAACAUCAAUCUCAGAACAUAGUGGAUACUAGGGAUCAAUUCCCGUCAAAACUAACUCGAUUACAUGAUAGAUCUCAUCCAACCCAUCACCGUCUAGAAAGCCUACGAAUAGAUUACUCACGAACGGUGAAGAGCAUCAUGGAAUUGGCGAUGAAGGAAGGUUGGUGAUGACGAUGGCGUCAAAGUUUGUUUUCUUGUGCUAAUGAUAUCACGAGUUUCUGUUUAAGUUUUGUGUUGUGAAGUUUUCAAGUUUUGGGUGAUGAUCUCAUGGACAAAGGGAUAAAGAGUGGAAAGAGCUCAAGCUUGGGGAUGCCCAAGGCAUCCCAAGCCAAAUUCAAGGACACCAAAAAGCCUAAGCUGGGGGAUGCCCCGGGAAGACAUCCCCUCUUUCGUCUCCAAUCCAUCGGUAAUAUUACUUGGAGCUAUAUUUUUAUUCACCACAUGAUAUGUGUUUUGCUUGGAGCGUCUUGUAUCAUAGGAGUCCUUUAUUUUUGUUGUGUCACAAUCAUCCUUGCUGCACACCUUUUGAGAGAGACAUGCACUCAUCGUGAAUUUUCUAGAAUACUCAUUGAGCUUCGCUUAUAUCUUUUGAGUUAGGCAAUUUAGCUCAUUGUGCUUCACUUAUAUCUUUUGAUCUAGAUAACUUUUCUCUUUGUGCUUCACUUAGAUCUUUUAGAGCACGGCGGUGUCAUAUUUUGGAGAAAUAAGAACUCUCGAUCUUCACUUAUAUCUUUUUGAGAGUGCUCUCUCUGAGUAACUUGGUAGUUGGCUUGUGUUAUGAAAGUAGUCCGAAAGAUGAUAGGCGCCCAAAGAGGAUACAAUAAAACUUCCAUAUUCAUGUGCAUUGAUUAGAAAGAGAAGUUUGAUUCCUCUCAAAUAGUUUUGAGACAUGGAUUUGGUAAUAUUAAGAGUUAUGCUAGUAGGGUGUUGUGAAUCUAGAAAUACUUGUGUUGAAGUUAGUGAUUCCCGUAACAUGCACGUAUGGUGGACCGCUAUGUUAGGAAGUCGGAGCAUAUUUGAUUUAUUGAUUGUCAUCCUUUGUGUUGCGGUCGGGAUUGCGCGAUGGUUAACACCUACCAACCCUUCCCCUAGGAGUAUGCGUUUAGCACUUUGUUUCGAUUACUAAUAAAAACUUUCGCAAUAAGUAUGUGAGUUCUUCAUGACUAAUGUGAGUCCAUGGUAUAGAUACACUUUCACCUUCCACCAUUGCUAGCCUCUCUAGUGCCGUGCAACUUUCGUCGGUACACAAAACCACAAUAUGCCUUCCUCAAAACAACCACCAUACCUACCUACUAUGGCAUUUUCAUAGCCAUUCCGAGAUAUAUUGCCAUGCAACUCCCACCGUUCGGUCUCAUGACUUGUGUCGUNNNNNNNNNNNNNNNNNNNNNNNNNNNNNNNNNNNNNNNNNNNNNNNNNNNNNNNNNNNNNNNNNNNNNNNNNNNNNNNNNNNNNNNNNNNNNNNNNNNNGUGAUCUCAUCCGGGACUCCGAACAACAUUCGGUAACCAACCAUAUAACUCAAAUACGCAUAAAACAACGUCGAACCUUAAGUGUGCAGACCCUGCGGGUUCGAGAACUAUGUAGACAUGACCCGAGUGACUCCUCGGUCAAUAUCCAAUAGCGGGACCUGGAUGCCCAUAUUGGAUCCUACAUAUUCUACGAAGAUCUUAUCGUUUGAACUUCAGUGCCAAGGAUUCAUAUAAUCCCGUAUGUCAUUCCCUUUGUCCUUCGGUAUGUUACUUGCCCGAGAUUCGAUCGUCAGUAUCCGCAUACCUAUUUCAAUCUCGUUUANCCGGCAAGUCUCUUUACUCAUUCCGUAAUACAAGAUCCCGCAACUUACACUAAGUCACAUUGCUUGCAAGGCUUGUGUGUGAUGUUGUAUUACCGAGUGGGCCCCGAGAUGCCUCUCCGUCACACGGAGUGACAAAUUCCAGUCUCGAUCCAUACUAACUCAACGAACACCUUCGAAGAUACCUGUAGAGCAUCUUUAUAGUCACCCAGUUACGUUGCGACGUUUGAUACACACAAAGCAUUCCUCNNNNNNNNNNNNNNNNNNNNNNNNNNNNNNNNNNNNNNNNNNNNNNNNNNNNNNNNNNNNNNNNNNNNNNNNNNNNNNNNNNNNNNNNNNNNNNNNNNNNACGGUGCCCUAUUUAAAGUGAAUGCUGCAGUUUCUAAUGCGUAUCCCCAAAAUGAUAGCGGUAAGUCGGUAAGAGACAUCAUAGAUCGUACCAUAUCUAAUAAAGUGCGAUUAUGACAUUCACACACCCCAUUACGUUGCGGUGUGCCAAGCGGCGUCAGUUGUGAAACGAUUCCACACUUCCUUAGGUGUGUGCCAAACUCGUGACUCAAAUAUUCUCCUCCACAAUCAGAUCGUAGACAUUUAAUUUUUUCUGUCACGUUGAUUCUCAACCUCACUCUGAAAUUCCUUGAACUUUUCAAACGUCUCAGAUUUGUGCUUCAUCAAGUAGAUAUACCCAUACCUACUCAAAUCAUCGGUGAGAGUGAGAACAUAACGAUAACCACCGCGAGCUUCAACGUUCAUUGGACCACACACAUCAGUAUGUAUUAUUUCCAAUAAGUCGGUUGCUCUCUCCAUUAUUCCUGAGAAUGGAGUCUUAGUCAUCUUGCCCAUGAGGCACAGUUCGCAUGUGUAAAAUGAUUCAAAGUCAAGAGACUCUAAUAGUCCAUCAAUAUGGAGCUUCUUCAUGCGCUUAACGCCGAUAUGACCAAGGCGGCAGUGCCACAAGUAUGUGGGACUGUCAUUAUCAACUUUACAUCUUUUGGUACUCACACUAUGAAUAUGUGUAACAUCACGAUCGAGAUUCAUCAAGAAUAAACCAUUCANNNNNNNNNNNNNNNNNNNNNNNNNNNNNNNNNNNNNNNNNNNNNNNNNNNNNNNNNNNNNNNNNNNNNNNNNNNNNNNNNNNNNNNNNNNNNNNNNNNNAGGUUGACUCGACGAGCUUAGCAUGUACAGACAUGACCUCGAAUACAAGAGACCGAAAGGUCGAACAUGAGUCGUAUGGUUGAAUACGAUCAGCAUGAAGUUGCUCACCAUGGUGACUAGUCCGUCUCACGUGAUGAUCGGACACGGGUUAGUCAACAUGGAUCAUGUAUCACUUAGAUGACUAGAGGGAUGUCGAUUUAAGUGGGAGUUCAUACUUAAUUUGAUUAAAUGAAAUUAAUUGUCAUGAACUUAGUCUAAAAGUUGUCUUUAUAAAUAUUGUAGAUGUCCAACGUCAACCUCAAUUUCAACGCAUUCCUAGAGAAAAACAAGCUGAAAGAUGAUGGUAGCAACUAUGCGGACUGGGUUUGCAACUUGAAGCUCAUCCUCGAAGCAGCUAAAAAGGCUUAUGUCCUUAAUGCGCCGCUAGGUGACCCUCCCGCUCCCGCAGCAGCCCAGGACAUUCUGAACGUCUGGCAAACGCGGAGUGAUGACUACUCUCUGGUCAGGUGUGGCAUGUUAUACAGUUUAGAAACGGGGCUCCAAAGGCGUUUUGAGCAACAUGGGGCAUAUGAGAUGUUCCAGGAGCUACAGCUAGUUUUUCAAGCUCAUGCCCGUGUCGAGAGAUAUGAAGUCUCCGACAAGUUCUUCAGCUGUAAGAUGGAGGAGAACAGUUCUGUCAGUGAGCACAUACUCAAAAUGUCUGGGUUACACGGUCGUCUGACUUCACUUGGAGUCGAACUUCCGGAUGAUGCUAUUAUUGACAGAAUCCUCCAGUCUCUCCCACCAAGCUACAAAGGCUUUGUGCUUAACUACAAUAUGCAAGGGAUGGAGAAGACCAUUCCCGAGUUGUACUCGCUGCUCAACUCUGCAGAAGUAGAAAUCAAGAAAGAGCAUCAAGUCUUGAUGGUCAACAAGACCACUAGUUUCAAGAAAGGCAAGGGUAAGAAGAACUUCAAGAAAGACGGCCAAGCUGUUGCCGCGCCCGGUAAGCCAGAUGCCGGGAAGAAGAAAAAGAACGGACCCAAGCCUGAGACUGAGUGCUUCUAUUGCAAGGGAAAGGGUCACUNNNNNNNNNNNNNNNNNNNNNNNNNNNNNNNNNNNNNNNNNNNNNNNNNNNNNNNNNNNNNNNNNNNNNNNNNNNNNNNNNNNNNNNNNNNNNNNNNNNNUCUCUCCUACUCUAGUCGGAUUGGAUUUGAUGAAAAGGGUCCUUAUGAAGGGUAAAUAGCUUUGGCAUAUAAUCGUUGUGGCUGUCACGUAGGUAAGAAGGCGUUCUUGCUAGAAACCCAAAUCAGCCACGUAAAACUUGCAACAACAAUUAGAGGACGUCUAACUUGUUUUUGCAGGGUUUGACAUGUGAUGUGAUAUGGCCAAAGUUGUGAUGUUGCAUGUAUAAUGUAUGAGAUGAUCAUGUUAUUGUAAUAGGUUUCACGACUUGCAUGUCGAUGAGUAUGACAACCGGCAGGAGCCAUAGGAGUUGUCUUAAUUUAUUGUAUGAGAUGCAACGCCAUGUGCUUACUACUUUUACUUCAUUGCUAACAGUUAGCUAUAGUAGUAGUGAUAGUAGUAGUUGGCGUGACGACAUCACAGAGACACGAUGAUGGAGAUCAUGAUGAUGGAGAUCAUGGUGUCACGCUGGUGACGAUGAUGAUCAUGCGAUGCCUGAAGAUGGAGAUCGAAAGAGCAAAGAUGAUAAUGGCCAUAUCAUGUCACUAUAUGAUUGCAUUGUGAUGUUUAUCAUGUUUUACAUCUUAUUGCUUAAAACGACGGUAGCAUAAUAAGAUGAUCCCUCUUAAAAUUUCAAGAACGUAUUCCCCUAAGUGUGCACCGUUGCGAAGGUUCAUUGUCUCGAAGCACCACGUGAUGAUCGGGUGUGAUAGAUUCUAACAUUCGCAUACAACCGGUGUAAGCCAGAUUUACACACGCGAAACACCUAGGUUGACUCGACGAGCUUAGCAUGUACAGACAUGACCUCGAAUACAAGAGACCGAAAGGUCGAACAUGACUCGUAUGGUUGAAUACGAUCAGCAUGCAGUUGCUCACCAUGGUGACUAGUCCGUCUCACGUGAUGAUCGGACACGGGUUAGUCAACAUGGAUCAUGUAUCACUUAGAUGACUAGAGGGAUGUCGAUUUAAGUGGGAGUUCAUACUUAAUUUGAUUAAAUGAAAUUAAUUGUCAUGAACUUAGUCUAAAAGUUGUCUUUAUAAAUAUUGUAGAUGUCCAACGUCAACCUCAAUUUCAACGCAUUCCUAGAGAAAAACAAGCUGAAAGAUGAUGGUAGCAACUAUGCGGACUGGGUUNNNNNNNNNNNNNNNNNNNNNNNNNNNNNNNNNNNNNNNNNNNNNNNNNNNNNNNNNNNNNNNNNNNNNNNNNNNNNNNNNNNNNNNNNNNNNNNNNNNNAAUACCCAGGAGCUACUACGAGCGCUGGUAAGGUACACAUCAAUAACAUGUAUAUCACAUAUACCUUUAACGUUGCCGGCCUUCUUGUCCGCUAAGUAUUUGGGGCAGUUCCGCUUCCAGUGACCCUUUCCCUUGCAAUAGAAGCACUCAGUCUCAGGCUUGGGUCCGUUCUUUUUCUUCUUCCCGGCAUCUGGCUUACCGGGCGCGGCAACAGCUUGGCCGUCUUUCUUGAAGUUCUUCUUACCCUUGCCUUUCUUGAAACUAGUGGUCUUGUUGACCAUCAAAACUUGAUGCUCUUUCUUGAUUUCUACUUCUGCAGAAUUGAGCACCGAGUACAACUCGGGAAUGGUCUUCUCCAUCCCUUGCAUGUUGUAGUUAAGCACAAAGCCUUUGUAGCUUGGUGGGAGAGACUGGAGGAUUCUGUCAAUUAUAGCAUCAUCCGGAAGUUCGACUCCAAGUGAAGUCAGACGACCGUGUAACCCAGACAUUUUGAGUAUGUGCUCACUGACAGAACUGUUCUCUUCCAUCUUACAGCUAAAGAACUUGUCGGAGACUUCAUAUCUCUCGGCACGGGCAUGAGCUUGAAAAACUAGCUUCAUCUCCUGGAACAUCUCAUAUGCCUCAUGUUGCUCAAAACGCCUUUGGAGCCCCGUUUCUAAACUGUAUAACAUGCUACACCUAACCAGAGAGUAGUCAUCACUCCGCGUUUUCCAGACGUUCAGAAUGUCCUGGGCUGCUGCGGGAGCGGGAGGGUCACCUAGCGGCGCAUCAAGGACAUAAGCCUUUUUAGCUGCUUCAAGGACGAGCUUCAAGUUGCGAACCCAGUCCGCAUAGUUGCUACCAUCAUCUUUCAGCUUGUUUUUCUCUAGGAAUGCGUUGAAAUUGAGGUUGACGUUGGACAUCUACAAUAUUUAUAAAGACAACUUUUAGACUAAGUUCAUGACAAUUAAGUUCAUUUAAUCAAAUUAAAUAUGAACUCCCACUUAAAUCGACAUCCCUCUAGUCAUCUAAGUGAUACAUGAUCCAUGUUGACUAACCCGUGUCCGAUCAUCACGUGAGACGGACUAGUCACCAUGGUGAGCAACUCCAUGCUGAUCGUAUUCAACCAUACGAAUCAUGUUCGACCUUUCGGUCUCUUGUAUUCGAGGUCAUGUCUGUACAUGCUAAGCUCGUCGAGUCAACCUNNNNNNNNNNNNNNNNNNNNNNNNNNNNNNNNNNNNNNNNNNNNNNNNNNNNNNNNNNNNNNNNNNNNNNNNNNNNNNNNNNNNNNNNNNNNNNNNNNNNGCGGAGACUGGCCAAGGACGAGGUGACGAUGCGCGUCGGGAAUGGUUCAAAGGUCGAUGUGAUCGCCGUCAGCACGCUGCCUCUACAUCUACCGUCGGGAUUAGUUUUAAACCUUAAUAAUUGUUAUUUAGUACCAGCUUUAAGCAUGAACAUUGUAUCAGGGUCUUGCUUAAUGCGAGACGGCUACUCAUUUAAGUCAGAGAAUAAUGGUUGUUCUAUUUAUAUGAGUGAUAUGUUUUAUGGUCAUGCUCCGCUGGUGAAUGGUUUAUUCUUGAUGAAUCUCGAUCGUGAUGUUACACAUAUUCAUAGUGUGAGUACCAAAAGAUGCAAAGUUGAUAAUGAUACUCCCACAUACUUGUGGCACUGCCGCCUUGGUCAUAUCGGCGUUAAGCGCAUGAAGAAGCUCCAUACUGAUGGACUAUUAGAGUCUCUUGACUUUGAAUCAUUUGACACAUGCGAACCGUGCCUCAUGGGCAAGAUGACUAAGACUCCAUUCUCAGGAAUAAUGGAGAGAGCAACCGACUUAUUGGAAAUAAUACAUAUUGAUGUGUGUGGUCCAAUGAACGUUGAAGCUCGCGGUGGUUAUCGUUAUGUUCUCACUCUCACCGAUGAUUUGAGUAGGUAUGGGUAUAUCUACUUGAUGAAGCACAAAUCUGAGACGUUUGAAAAGUUCAAGGAAUUUCAGAGUGAGGUUGAGAAUCAACGUGACAGAAAAAUUAAAUGUCUACGAUCUGAUCGUGGAGGAGAAUAUUUGAGUCACGAGUUUGGCACACACCUAAGGAAGUGUGGAAUCGUUUCACAACUGACGCCGCCUGGCACACCGCAGCGCAACGGAGUGUCUGAACGUCGUAAUCGCACUUUAUUAGAUAUGGUACGAUCUAUGAUGUCUCUCACCGACUUACCGCUAUCAUUUUGGGGAUACGCAUUAGAAACUGCAGCAUUCACUUUAAAUAGGGCACCGUCUAAAUCCGUUGAGACGACACCGUAUGAACUAUGGUUUGGCAAGAAACCUAAGUUGUCGUUUCUUAAAGUUUGGGGCUGCGAUGCUUAUGUGAAGAAACUUCAACUAGAAAAGCUCCAACCCAAAGAGGAGAAAUGCGUAUUCAUAGGAUACCCUAAGGAAACUAUUGGGUAUACCUUCUAUCUUAGAUCCGAAGGUAAAACCUUUGUUGCCAAGAACGGAUCCUUUCUAGAGAAAGAGUUUCUCUCGAAAGAAGUAAGUGGGAGGAAGGUAAAACUUGAUGAGGUAAUUGCACCCCCUCUCGAACAGGAAAGUAGCGCAGCGCGGGAAGUUGUUCCUGUGGCGCCUAUACCGAAUGAAGAGGAAGUUAAUGAUGAUGAUCAUGAAGCUUCGGAUCAAGUUACUACUGAACCGCGAAGGUCCACAAGGGCACGCUCCGCACCAGAGUGGUACGGCAACCCUGUGAUGGAAAUCAUGUUGUUAGACAAUGGUGAGCCUUCGAACUAUGAAGAAGCAAUGGCGGGCCCGGAUUCCAACAAAUGGCUUGAGGCUAUGAAAUCCGAGAUAGGAUCCAUGUAUGAGAACAAAGUAUGGACUUUGGUGGACUUGCCCGAUGACCGGCGAGCCAUAGAAAAUAAAUGGAUCUUCAAGAAGAAGACUGAUGCAAACGGUAAUGUAACCGUUUACAAAGCUCGACUUGUCGCAAAGGGUUUUCGACAAAUUCAAGGAGUUGACUACGAAGAGGCUUUCUCUCCCGUAGCGAAGCUGAAAUCAGUUCGAAUCAUGUUAGCAAUUGCCGCCUUUUAUGAUUAUGAAAUUUGGGAAAUGGACGUCAAAACAGCGUUCCUUAACGGGAACCUUAAGGAAGAGUUGUAUAUGAUGCAACCAGAAGGUUUUGUCGACCCUAAGGGUGCUAACAAAGUGUGCAAGCUCCAGCGCUCCAUCUAUGGGCUGGUGCAAGCAUCUCGGAGUUGGAACAUUCGCUUUAAUGAGGUAAUUAAAGCGUUUGGGUUCAUACAGGUUUACGGAGAAACCUGUCUGUACAAGAAAGUGAGUGGGAGCUCUGUAGCUUUCCUCAUACUAUAUGUGGAUGACAUAUUAUUGAUGGGGAAUAAUAUAGAGAUGUUGGAGAGCAUAAAGGCCUAUUUGAACAAGAGUUUUUCAAUGAAGGACCUUGGAGAAGCUGCAUACAUAUUAGGCAUCAAGAUCUAUAGAGAUAGAUCGAGACGCCUCAUAGGUCUUUCGUAAAGUACAUACCUUGACAAGAUAUUGAAGAAGUUCAAUAUGGAAAACUCAAAGAAAGGGUCAUUGCCAGUUUUGCAAGGUAUGAGAUUGAGUAAGACUCAGUCGCCGACCACGGCAGUAGAUAGAGAGAAGAUGAGUUAUGUCCCCUACGCUUCAGCCGUGGGCUCUCUAAUGUAUGCCAUGUUGUGUACCAGACCUGAUAUAAACCUUGCCAUAAGUUUGGUAGGGAGGUACCAAAGUAAUCCCGGUACGGAACACUCGACAGCGGUCAAGAAUAUCCUUAAGUACCUGAAAAGGACUAAGGAAAUAUUUCUCGUUUAUGGAGGUGACGAAGAGCUCGUCGUAAAGGGUUACGUCGACGCUAGCUUCGACAUAGAUCCGGAUGACUCUAAGUCACAGACCGGAUACGUAUAUGUGUUGAAUGGUGGGGCAGUGAGCUGGUGCAACAGCAAGCAAGAAGUCGUGGCAGCAUCUACAUGUGAAGCGGAGUACAUAGCUGCUUCAGAAGCGGCUCAUGAAGGAAUUUGGAUGAAGGAGCUCAUCACUGACCUUGGAGUGGUUCCAAGCGCGUCGGGUCCCAUGACACUCUUCUGUGAUAACACUGGAGCCAUUGCCAUAGCCAAGGAGCCCAGGUUUCACUGAAAGACGAAGCACAUCAAGCGCCGCUACAACUCCAUCCAGGACCAUGUCCAGAGUGGAGUGAUAGAUAUUUGUAAAGUACACACGGAUCUGAAUAUUGCAGACCCGUUGACUAAACCUCUUCCACGAGCAAAACAUGAUCAACACCAUAAUGCUAUGGGUGUUCGAUACAUCACAAUGUAACUAGAUUAUUGACUCUAGUGCAAGUGGGAGACUGUUGGAAAUAUGCCCUAGAGGCAAUAAUAAAAUGGUUAUUAUCAUAUUUCCUCGUUCAUGAUAAUCGUCUAUUGUUCAUGCUAUAAUUGUAUUAACAGGAAACAGUAAUACAUGUGUGAAUAAAUAGAUCACAAUGUGUCCCUAGGAAGCCUCUAGUUGGCUAGCUCGUUAGUCAAUAGAUGAUCAUGGUUUCCUGAUCAUGGGCAUUAGAUGUCAUUGAUAACGGGAUCACAUCAGUGGGAGAAUGAUGUGAUGGACAAGACCCAAUCCUAAGCCUAGCACUAGAUCGUAUUGUUCGUAUGCUAAUGCUUUUCUAAUGUCAAGUAUCUUUUCCUUCGACCGUGAGAUUGUGCAACUCCCAGAUGCCGUAGGAGUGCUUUGGGUGUAUCAAACGUCACAACGUAACUGGGUGACUAUAAAGGUGCACUACGGGUAGGGGGGGGGGGGGGGGUUGGGUUGGUACGAAUCGAGAUCGGGAUUUGUCACUCCGUGUGACGGAGAGGUAUCUCUGGGCCCACUCGGUAGAACAUCAUCAUGAGCUCAAUGUGACUAAGGAGUUAGUCACACGAUGAUGUGCUACGGAACGAGUAAAGAGACUUACCGGUAACGAGAUUGAACAAGGUAUAGGUAUACCGACGAUCGAAUCUCGGGCAAGUUCUAUACCGACAGACANNNNNNNNNNNNNNNNNNNNNNNNNNNNNNNNNNNNNNNNNNNNNNNNNNNNNNNNNNNNNNNNNNNNNNNNNNNNNNNNNNNNNNNNNNNNNNNNNNNNGGGGGGGGGGGAGGGUGUUAGAUUUGUAUUGCCCCUUUUUUGUAUAUCCCCAUUAUAUAAGGGGUUUCUACCACUUUUACCAUAUGUAUAUAUAUUGGCCUUUGGCCCCUGUGAAUAUUUGCUCAUUAUCUAACAGAUCCAACACAAGGUUGGGUCGAAGCUAGUUUAUAUCUGGGACGUUACACCAACCUCUCAAGCCAAUCCAACAUUGCAGACAGAUUUAUGAUACACUUCCUUUUCACGAGCCCGAGGCAAUGUACCUAUGUCAAAAAAAGUAGGAGUUCGAGGCAAUGUACCUAAUACAAACUGUGAAGCCUUCCCACCUAGGCUAUACAUGAGGUCCUUGAGAUGCUCUAUAAGAUAUCGGUUAAAAGAGAAAACGUCCAAAAUAAGAGAAAUAUAACUAUAUUUUUUUUGUAUUUGUCGCUUCAAAGGAUCAGUAUGUUGGACAAGAAGAGAAGCACUGAAGUAGCAUCACUCAUCAUCAAGGUCAAAAUCGUUGUCCGAUGCGCACUCGAGAUAUGAACCAAUCGACUUGCGGAAGAUGAUGAAAGACUUGUCAUCCUGUGAAAAAAGAAUGCAUUAUUUUGCAGGAAGAGGUGUUUCAAGCCAUGGAACAAAAAAAACUGGCUGGUCAUUCAGCUUUAGGCCUGACGGGUAGCUAAAAAUGAAGUCUAAGAAAUGCAAGCAGUUGUGAAUUUUGCCACACCUGCUUCAUCCUUUUCAGUGAUGGUUUGGCAUUUGUUAUCUUAUCUGAUAAGGUGUCACCAUGUUCUGACAAUGUAGCCGUCUCCUCCCCUGUUUGAAGGAUUUGAGUGUAAGAGCAGCAUAUUUCCAUCCAAGGGAAAUAAUGAAUCCUCUAGCUACUUACUUUGAUAUUCAUACUGCUCAAGCAGUUUCUUUUUCUCAACUUCAAUUUGUGAGGAUAGAUCUGCAUAAUAGGACAUGUAACAAGUCAAAUAAGAGCCAAAUAUUUUUGCAGAUUCAAUGAGAUCUGAACGUCUUUUAUGGGAACAUCAUCCAAAUAAUGCUGAGUCGCUAAUAAGCAGUAGCCAAGCAAUGCAUAUUUAGAAACAACACACAUAAUUUGAAUACAAGUGUCAUGUAGAUUCUAUUUGCAUCAAAACCAGGUAUCUCAAUAUUUUUUCUAAAGAUAAGAAUCACAGCUCAUACGUAGUAGCCGAUUACACCAAAUGAGAAACAACCAUCACACGUCACAAUGCCCUAAAAUCCUAGAUAGACCUGGAUAGAAGCACAUGAUAUACUUGUGAAAAUGACAACCAGCUCUUAUUUGACAUACCUUUGAAGGUUUGUAAGUGUGCAUCAUUUUCUUCGCAGAACAUUUCAUAUGUUUCCUGAAGCUUGGUGUACUCUUCGUUCAAUGAACUUUCACACUGCUAAUAGUGCAAAUUACACGCCAUAAUUCAAUCUUAGGCAAAUCAGCAAGUAAGUCGACAAUUCCAAAGAAUUGUAAACUGUGUACCUCUUUCGAAGUGCUUGACAGUACUUUCAGCAAAUUCUGCCUGCACAUGCAAAUAUAACAGUGACACUACGUUCUAAAUAAAAACGAACAAGCUUCCUUUUCUGACAGAACUGGUUUCAGGCGUAAUUGUUCAUGCAGGCAUCGUUUCACAGUUCACAAGCAAGUGAGUUACCUUUCCUUCUCAAACUUGGACUUGGUAUCUUCAAGCAUAGUCUGAAUAUUGGCUGCAACACUGUCAGGUUUAGAAAAGUAAAGGAAUAAACAGGGUAAGAAGAAGGUAAAAGAAUAAUGAUCAGCAACAUUAUGCGCUUCAAACUUCACAGUUCAGUCAGCGGAGUCCCUGUUAGUCCACAUGUUAUAAUUUUCGGCUUCUUUUCCUCCCCGAUGCCUGUGUAAAUAAUUCUUUGUAAUAGUUCUGAGAAGUUUAUAGAAAUGUUCAGGCUGGCUUUGCCGGCCGUAGUUCUGAAAAUCAACUCACCCGAACAAAGCCACACCAUGACAUAAGUACAAAACAUGAAUCCGGGAACCCAUCAAAUUAAUAUGUCCAUUUUCCUCGCAUCACUCACAAUGCAUAUCGCUCCGCAUAAUAUACAAAAACUGACAUAUCACCGAACGAACCUAGUUCCUGCAUUAAUCACAGAAACAGCCGAGUGGACGCAUUGCAGGAUUGCAAACGUGCAACAUUUAUUUGUAUCCCUCCCAGUGACCAUGAACUGUAAGUUUUCCACACAAAUCCGCCAGCACGAAAUGCAUCAUAAGAAGCUGCUAGGAUAGCAUACGCCGAUCCCAAUUUUUUUGCACGCUAGCACAUAGCGAGAUAAGAGAAAAUUUAGAGGUGCAAGUGCAACCGAAAGAACACUGUUCUCCGCACCUGGCGAUGAUCUGCUCGCACAUCUUCUGGCCAGCCUUGUUGGUCCCGCCCUUGAUCAACCGCAGCAGGCACGCGAUCUGCCUCAAGUCGCUGCGCCCGCCACAAAAGUAGCCAUCACGGAGUUAAAGCGAGAAGGAAUUAGAAACGGGAGACACCGAAUCGAAGAGGAAAAGCUCGAAAUCAGAUGUGCGGCACCUGACGAAAUCGCCGUCAGAUUCCGAGCCGGAGCUGGAGCCGGAAUCGGAACCGGAGCCGAAAUCCACGGGGUGGCGCGGCCUCUUCGACGACCGCAGAGCCUCUUCACCCAGGGACAUCCUCCUUCCGCCGCCGGGACUCGCCGCGGGCCGCAUCGCUGGUCGACGAGCGUAGUGCAGCGCAAUUCGAAAUUUGGAGGGGGAGCGAGAGGGUAGUGAUGUAAUACUGGCAAAAUUUUGGUGGCCCACUCACAGUAUUGGCUUUUGUAAGGGAAAGUGUUCGUGCGCGCAAGGCUACGAGCAACUAGUUCCUCCUCUUGUAAUUUUUUUUUCCUUCGACGCGUCCGUUGAAGUGUUCGGCCGGUCGCGUUCCUUCCUCACGUUUUUCUUCCACCUUUUCCUUUUCCCCUCCCGCGCACACUCGGAUUUUUUCACUGUUUUAACCUUUUUUCUAAANNNNNNCACAAAAUGAACCAGAUUUGAAACCAUUUCACGAUCUGACCCUUUUAAAAACGCCACAAGCCGUGGCGUUGCUNNNNNNNNNNNNNNNNNNNNNNNNNNNNNNNNNNNNNNNNNNNNNNNNNNNNNNNNNNNNNNNNNNNNNNNNNNNNNNNNNNNNNNNNNNNNNNNNNNNNUGGACAAGAAUACAUGGAGUUACUCAAGCCAUUGAAUCAUUUGACUUUGUUUUCAAUCUUCACUUGAUGCUUGUUAUUCUUGGCUAUACAAAUGAGUUGUCCAAAUCUUUGCAAAAGAGAGAUCAAGAUACUAUUAAUGCAGUGGCACUUGUUAGUUUGGCAAAGAGUAGAAUGCGACACAUGAGGUGUCAUGGUUAGGAAGAAUUUCUUGCAAAGCUAACCCUAUUUUGCCAGAAACAUGACAUUCAAGUUCCUUUGUGGGAGGAUACUUAUGCAGGGGCAGAAUUAGCAUGGGUUCACGUCUAGGGCCAAAUUAGCUUCAGUGGUGUAUUUUAGAGAUUUUUUGUACUUAGUAAGUAGGUAUUACAAAGACUAUUGUCACUACACCUAGGGCUAUAGCCCCAUUUUCCCUAGGCCUGAUUCCAACAUUGUACUUAUGAGCAUCAUGGAAUAUCACGUUGGUAUAAUGAAGUUCAAACAAAUGAUGAUCGUUAUAAAAGAGAAGUAUAUCUUGGUGUCAUUGAUCAAACCAUUCUAUCCCAUGGACAUAUCAAGCACGGAUUUGAUAAGGCUAGAAUUUCAACUUGCUACUUUUAUUGAUGAUACGAGACAAGAUGAUAUUGGUGAGCUCUCUAUUUUACUUGUUGCAACAAAGAAUCAUAUUCUCUAUGAUUUGGUCUACUUACUCAUCAAAUUGAUAUUGAUUUUACCGAUGGCAACAACGAGUGUUGAAAGGGUAUUUUCUGCAAUGAAUCUAGUGAAAAAUAAAUUAAGGACUAGUAUGGGUGAUGAUCGUUUGGUGACAAUUAUUAAGCGAGAUGUGUUCAUGAAAGUAAAUGAAGAUGACAUAGUUGAUGCUUUCAUGACAAUGCAACGACGUAGAGUUACCUAGUGUUGUAAUUUUCUACUUCUGUUACUUUCAUGUAAGUCUUUUCUAUUGUAACUGGGCACAUUUGAAAUACAUUUUAUGUACUAAAUGGUUGUGAGAUUUCAAUUGAGCUAUUUAUGUUACUCAUUUGACAUAUUUUGAUACAUUUGGAUUAGGUAGGAAAAAAAUAGAGUGCGCAUGCCCUUUAUUUUAUUCCUGGGUACCCACACAAUGGAACGCAAAAAUAUCCAGCCGAGCGAGCAGUAAAUCCACCAUACGGGAUGUGCAUACUUAAUACUCCUACAUUGCAACAAAUAAUCGUGAAAAAAAAUGGAAAAAGAAACCAUAUGCGAUCAGGCACAUGACGAAGGAAGGGUCACAUGAAUGAAGAAGAGAGAAAAGCCACAUAUCGACCCGAAUAGCGAAGUGUGGGAGCCGCGAUGGCGGGCACUGGCAGCCAUACAUUGGGCUAUCCAAAAUCUCAUCUCUCGCCCAAUCCCGGCCUCACGAUCUCAAUUCUCACCCCGCGUGCACCACAAGCUCCAAUCCCCUAACUCGUAUAUACAGCCACGCCCGCCUCACCGUCCUUGAUCUUCCCCCCUAUCUGAUCGGAUCCUUUGGACAUGGCGUCGCCCAUGCUCUCCACGGCCAUGGCGCCACUCCAGGUAUUGCUCGUGUUCCAUUUCCAUUCCAUGCUUGCGUAGUAGUACAGUUCUUCCAUGUUUGUGACGCGCGGUGGUUAUGUAACUGGACUGCCAUGCAUCCUCUGUCGAUCCAGGGGGGCAUGCUGGAGUUCUCCGGGCUGAGGAGCUCGUCGUCGCUGCCGCUCCGGCGGAAUGCCACCUCCGACGACUUCAUGUCCGCCGUCUCCUUCAGGACAUACGCGGUAUGAUAUGAAUAUGAUGGGCGGAAUGUGGCUGUCACCUAGGAGUACGUAGCUCGCUUGGUCGCAUGCCAUGAGACAUGAGCGGCGCGUGGUACGGUGGUUGCAGGUGAGCACGAGCGGCGGGUCGCGGAAGGCGCCGACGGAGGCGAAGCUCAAGGUGGCGAUCAACGGGUUCGGGCGCAUCGGGCGCAACUUCCUGCGGUGCUGGCACGGGCGCGGCGACAGCUCGCCGCUGGAGGUGAUCGCCAUCAACGACACCGGAGGCGUGAAGCAGGCGUCCCACCUCCUCAAGUACGACUCCACGCUGGGCAUCUUCGACGCGGACGUCAAGCCCGUGGGCGACAACGCCAUCUCCGUCGACGGCAAGGUGAUCAAGGUCGUGUCCGACCGCAACCCCUCCAACCUGCCGUGGGGCGAGAUGGGCAUCGACCUCGUCAUCGAGGGCACCGGCGUCUUCGUCGACCGCGCCGGCGCGGGCAAGCAUCUCGAGGCCGGAGCCAAGAAGGUGCUCAUCACCGCGCCCGGCAAGGGCGACAUCCCCACCUACGUCUGCGGCGUCAACGCCGACCUCUACACCCACGCCGACACCAUCAUCAGCAACGCCUCAUGCACCACCAACUGCCUCGCCCCCUUCGUCAAGGUCCUCGACCAAAAGUUCGGUACGUGCCCGUCUCCCUCCCUCUCUCUCUCUCUCAACUGAAUCAACUUGUUGACGAUGACUAAUGGCGGCGGUGGCAAUGGCGCAGGCAUCAUCAAGGGAACCAUGACCACAACCCACUCGUACACCGGCGACCAGAGGCUGCUCGACGCGAGCCACCGCGACCUGCGCCGUGCCCGCGCCGCCGCCCUCAACAUAGUGCCGACCUCCACCGGCGCGGCCAAGGCCGUGGCGCUGGUGCUCCCCAACCUCAAGGGCAAGCUCAACGGGAUCGCGCUCCGGGUGCCCACCCCCAACGUGUCCGUCGUCGACCUCGUGGUGCAGGUCUCCAAGAAGACCCUCGCCGAGGAGGUGAACCAGGCGUUCCGCGACGCCGCCGCCAACGAGCUCAAGGGCAUCCUCGACGUCUGCGACGAGCCCCUCGUGUCCGUCGACUUCAGGUGCUCCGACGUCUCCUCCACCAUCGACGCGUCGCUCAGCAUGGUCAUGGGAGACGACAUGGUCAAGGUCAUUGCAUGGUACGACAACGAGUGGGGUUACUCCCAGAGGGUCGUCGACCUCGCCGACAUCGUCGCCAACCAAUGGAAGUGAACGCCCCCCCACAGCGGCAUUGCCCUGUCAAGUGACUCCUCUCGAAAUUUUCCCCAGCCGUCGUCACGGAUGAUCGAUUCUUUGUAAUGAGAAUUCAAAGUAUCGAGCUCCCAACAC